CUUUAAAUGCUAAAGCUGAAUUAUUGUUCUUAGAUGAUGCAGUUCACAGUAGACAUGCAAAGGGACUUGCAUGAAUUCAAGAGGGGAGGGUGUAACCCAGUUCCUAAAAUCAUCUCAAACAGAAAGAGAAGAAAAAUUAAAACAUUUAAUGUUCAUUGUUCUGUUCUUACUGUCCCGGUUAAUGAAAGUGAAAUGAGAUCAAAAUAAUUAUUUAAACAUAGAAGGGAUGCAGAUUAUAUAUGAUAUGCUCUGGUCAAACAAGGGUUAAGUUUCUCAGAGGGUUGAUGAGCUCUGAUGAGAGCCUAUUGUUUUACUCCACUCCUCACAUGUCAGCCAAUCGGUGAAGCUCUAGGCAGCUCUUGUCCCUCCUUAGUACCAGCUCCCAAGUUUUCAGUCUCUUGCUUCUACAGCCGAACAGAGCAGACGGACUAAAACUUUUGUUAUCGAGCGAAACCGGAGGGUUUACUGAGCUGUGGCUCCAUGUAAAUGCUGAGCAUCCACUCGACGGCGGUCAGGUUUUUAUAUGGGACGAAUCCAAAGACCAGGUCAGCGAUUCCAGAACCCAGAGUGUUCCAGUGUUCACUGGAUGGCGAGCCAA